AUUAGAACUUUAAGGAUAACUCAUAUGUUUUGAAAAGCCUGUGUUUCUCAGCCAGUACAGGAACCGCGAUCAAAAUGCAUGGGGUCACUAGCAUUUUGACCCUGGUUUAGAUCUAUUUGGCAGAACAAACUUGCUUAAGCUACUAAGCCUCUUGAACUGUUUGGUUAAGGUACAGUAGGACAUGAAGCGGUGCACUGUCCCAUUCUGAAAAGUGUCUGGUUCAGUUCAGUAACAGGGAGUGCCAGAGCCCUGGACCCCAUUUCAAUCAAACCUACACUGCCCCAGGGGAAAUGCCACCCCUGUGGUUGUUGGUAACCCCUCUGGAUUGUAAAAGUUCAACUAGCUCACUGCAUAGGGCACGUCUGUUGCCAAGUUUCUCUUGCAAGGUAUCUUCCCAAGUCCUUUCCCAGUCGUAUUUUCAUGAUUGUGACACUGGGGAUUCAUUCUUUAGGUCAGGACUGUUUAUACGCUGCAUCUUGCAAAACACAUGCGGAAGUCACUUUCCUCAAGAUUUCUCGCUCUCCCAGGACCCAGAGCCCGGGAAGGAUUCUGCCGUUUUUAGGAGAAAUUUUUUAAAGGAUGCACCCUUAUUCUGGAUAUUAAGAGCUAUUACAUCCUGUUGGCAGCUGGGCCUGGGAAGAAUUCAGUGGACUAUUAACCCCUGAAUGCUUUUGCUCCAACAGUGAGAGAGUGAGGGUCAGAAUAGUCACAUCUAUGCCCUGCCCCACUCUGACAACCAUAGUUACAACUUUCCAAGCUCUGAUACACAUUUGCCCCCUGCCAUCCCUUCUUCCAUCAUCCCAUUUUAAGAAAAAAGUACCAUACCAGCCCUUUCGGAACGUAUUCAGGACCACACAAUGAGCUAACAGCAGAACUAGAGCUGGGGUACUCGCUUCCUGAGUCAUAAUCCUAGGCUCACCAAUUACCCUCUGCUCUUAUUAAAUAGUAUUCCUCUUAAUAACUGGAGGAGAAAUUAGAGGAAGACGUGAGAAAUAUCAAGUAUCAAUGGGGUGAUGUAGAAAGGGGAAGAGAUUUCUUUAUUUCCCUAGAAGAAAGAACUAAGGCUAAGAAGUUGAAGUUACAGGGUCACCGUUUCUGCCUUGAUAUCCAAAUGAACUUUCUAUCCCUGAAUAGAGUUCCCAGAGAGUGACUGUUUAGUCCCAGAACAUAUUCAAGUGAAGGACUCAUCCUAAGGCUUUUGUAGAAACCAUUCCUUCAUUGAGGUGAGAAGAAGAAUUGAGUCAAAGGAUUUCUGAGGUCUUUUCCAAAUCUUUGUGGCCAUUUUUAAAUUGAUUUAUGUGUGUUCUAUUUGAUUAUUAAUAACCUGGAAGGCCUUGUCAAUGUUUCAGGGCUUCUAGCCUAGAAGUCAGAAAAGGUGAUGGCACCCCACUCCACUACUCUUGCCUGGAAAAUCCCAUGGAUGGAGGAGCCUGGUAGGCUGCAGUCCAUGGGGUAAUGAAGAGUCGGACACGACUGAGCGACUUCACUUUCACUUUUCACAUUCACGCAUUGGAGAAGGAAAUGGCAACCCACUCCAGUGUUCUUGCCUGGAGAAUCCCAGGGACAGGGGAGCCUGGUGGGCUGCUGUCUAUGGGGUCACACAGAGUCGGACACGACUGAAGCGACUUAGCAGCAGCAGCAGCCUAGAAGUGGUUGCCAUUUCCUUCUUUCUCAGAGACUGUCCAAUACAAGUGACUCUGAGAUUGUGACCAAUAGAGCAUGUCAUGGAAUUUUAGAGGACUGUAGAGUUUAUUUGCUCCAAGUUAUAUCAUUUUAAGGAUGAAGGAACCCAGACUCAGAAAGGUGAUGUGAAUGGCCAAUGCCAGGCAGUAACAAGUAGCAGUGUGAGGCUAGAAGGCAUAUCUCCUGACACCCAGACUAGUAAUCUUUCCAUGUCAUCCAUGGCUCACUCACCUUCUUGCACAUCUGUUACAUGACAGUGCUUACCUAGAUGCUGAAGAGUCGAGACAACAAAGAAUAUGACAGGCAAGUCCCACUCUCGUGUCGUAUGAGUUCAGGUAGAGGGAGACCAACAAUGUUGAGUAAUUAAAGAAGCUGAACUUCAUCAGAUGACUUUAUUUGUAAAGUCAGGAAAUAUGUAAUCUCCCCCCUUUUGUUUCAGGGGUGAAAAGAUUAAACAAAUGUAGGUGUUCACUUGGUUUUAAUGAUAAGCCCCAUGUGCUUUUAUUGAUUUUAUGUUUUAUGUUAAAACAUCACAAACCCAAGGUAAACUGCAUAUUGUAUGCUGUUGGAUAUGUUCUUAACUAAUCCCAUGUCUUCUGGCACUACUGUAUGUAUUCAAUCACUGUGAAUGAUAUGUUGUACAUGUUAAAGUAUUUAAUAGAUGUAACUUAAUAAACUGGCAUUGAAAGCCACAGAAUUUUAAUAAUUAGACCAG
ensembl:lncRNA